AAAAACCAAGAAAGACCAUCAAACUCAUACCAGAAUUCCUUUUCCUCUUCUUCUUCUUCAAAGAAUGAGAGAAGAUUCCAGAGACAGAGCAAGAGACGGGUAACACCACCAUCGCAUGAUGCUUCACAGUACACGACAGAGAGACCAAGCGGCGAGAGAGAGAGAGAGAGACAGAAAGGAGGGGGUGGAGAGACGACGGGGGCACAGUGAUGGCGGUGUCGUUGAGGGUUUGUGGACUUUUCCGAUCUCUUCAUCUGGUGGUGUGCUUUUUGAUUGAUUAGAUCUUGCCGCUGCUGUUACAUUUCUUCCGGCGAGUUCUCCGGCGAAGGUAGACAAUAACUUGGAGAUUUUUCAAUUUGUUGUCGCCUGCUACUCCGGUUUAUUUAAGUUUGUUUGUAGGGUUUAGUUUAUAGUUGAGCUUAGGUAUGGAAGACGGAAGCGCAUCAAGACAGAGUUCUUCAACUACCUAUGCCACAAUGAUUGUGAAGAUAGCGAUGAUCAUGGCUUGAAAAAACAUCGAAUUGAGUGAGUGGAAUUUAAGAUGACCUCAUCAGAUGUUGUGUAAGAGUAACGGAUUAAGGAAACAAAGUAGCGGGUGUGACAUCCUCCGGGUUCCGUUGAUGAAUUAGUCACUGUUCUUGACGCAAGCCCUACUUUUGAGUUUUGUUUACGGUUCCUGUUUUAGUACUAAGGAGGCAUGCUAUGAAUAUUUAUCUGAUAGCCCUUUUGAAUGGUGGCACAAGGGUGCUUGCUUCUUAUUCAUGUGGGAUGGAAGAGUGAGCAAUCUUUUCCUCAAAUGGUUCACAGCAUAUAUAUGGAGGUAGCAAGAAUGGCUUUAUAAAUAUAUGGAUCUACAUGGUGGAGGAUCAUUAGUUGCUUUUCAAAAUUACAAGGAGUGGCAUCAGAUUUUCUCGACACUCCGAUCGGGCAAAUACUGGAGAGGCUGCAAGCACUUGGAAUUUCCUGAACCUAGAACCAUCCAUAUUUAGCCGGCUGUUGCUGAAUUUGUUUAUUAGUCUUUGCAGAUGCUCACGAGAUGAUGAUCAUGGAGAGAUGGUUUCAAAGAAAAAGAACCCAUGAAGAGAUUGCGAACUUGGAGAAGAAGCAUUGAGAAGGGCGGGCAAUACUUGAAGUGUAUUUUAGAAGGCGAAUUAUAGUGGUGGUGUUAAAAAAAACACAGGUUUAGGUUGAAAUACUUUGGCGUAAUCUGUUGGGCAUGAAAGCUGGCUAGACUCUAAUUUUUUUUAUGGAUAUUACAUAACAUUUAUGGAUUUUGUAUAGUAAACUCUUGAAACAGAGUGUUAUUUUCAAUUUCAAACAUGCUACAAUGU
rnacentral:lncRNA from 1 species